rnacentral:lncRNA from 1 species
GUCCUGCUUGCCAACUUUCCUCCACAGAAAAAUCCAAUGCUUUUCACCCCCAGUGCUCAGUAGCUUCCCAGAAAGGCAUCCGAGAUUCUAGAAGGUGCUAUGGCCUGGGCUGACUCAGUGCCUCCCUGCCCUGCAGAUGGAGACCAUGAAAGGCAGAGGGCUGCUGUCCUGAGCCCUAGGGUGAAUUGCUGUAAAACUGGUUAACUGUCCUCUGUAGAGGGGCUCCUUGACCUCUCCAGGGGAUCCUGGAUCAUCUCCCAAGGAAGAGUCAUGGAACUACAGGAGGGAGCCAACUCGAGGUUGGGAGGGGAAAGCUGGUAAAACAUGGUGACCUCUCCCAAGUACAGUAUUCUAUGAAGAAGUGAGAACUACAGGAAAAACUUUCAAAAAAUUGUUAAUCAUGAUGCUCAGUGGAAAGUGAAGGAGGCUGAUGCUUUUGUGACCACCGUCUGAGAAAAGGCUGUAUCCCUGGUCAGUGCCGUGCACCCAAGGCCUCUGCAGGGUGCUGUCAGGUGUACUGGAGCACCUUGUUCUGCUGUGUACCUAGUGUCCACCUGGCAUGUGAAUUCUGGGGGCAAGGGUUGUACUUUGGGUUUCCCCAAUGUCCGCAUAGAACCUGGAGUGACAUAAGGCCUUGUCGGAGAGACCAAAACUCUAUUCUUCAUCAACAAAAGGCAGCUGGUCUAACUGCACAGUCAGAACUCAGGGAAGUAGCCACAGUGGGCUCCAACGUCUGGCUCCUCAGACAAAUCAAGCUGAAUCCUCGAUGUGCCAUGAGUGCAGAUGCUACCCUAUUGCUGCAACCACGGAGGGACAAGUGCUCACAGCAUACUGGCAGAUCCUGAUGUUCAAAAUCGAACUACCAGAAACAUGAAGACCUAACAGAAGGAGCCCACAGAGACAAACGGAACAUCCAUCAACCCUCCAGGUAUUCAAAUCAGGCUACUCUGACAAUCAGUAAAGACAAAGACAAGAUCUGUCAGAUAAGUCUGCUAAUACCUUCCUUGAUCUGGCCCCUUCACCAUCAAAGGGGAAUGCAGUGAUACAGUAGGAGAAGGAAAAAAAAAAAAAAAGAGAGAGAGAGAGAAGAAAAGAAAAAAGAGCACUAAAAGGAACAAGAGUGAUAGUAAGAUCUCAUAAUGGAUCCCUGGUGCUGACUCAUGCUUUUACAGUGACCCAGGCCUGUGGUUCUACCUGGUGACAAACAAUGAAAAUCCAACAAUCACUUUCGCUGGCAUCCUCACUUGUGAAUAAAUGCAAGAACUGGUCUAUUUGUAUAUAUUUUCAUCUACAUGAUUCAUGGAACUCACAAAAAUAUUUAAAAACCUAACUGGUAAUUAAGAUCAACAAUCAUAAAGUUAGAAAAACAGUGGCAAGGAUGGUAAUUUUAAGUGAAGGGCCAUUCUUUUUAUGCUUCAUGAAGGGGCACAGGUUCUGUGUGUGCUAAGACUGUUGGAAUGGAAAAGGACACCUAGGCCCUGACCUUGAUAAUGCAGCCCACCCUGCCGUGUGUGGGAGGGUGCAGCACUGGCUUGUGUCUCUCCUUUGUUCUCUUCCCUCUCUAAGUCAUCCUUGUUUGGUCUGUGCCGAAUCUUUCUGGUUCCUGACCUCCCAAGCUUUCUCUCCCAUUUCUGGAAAUUGGACCUCUUCUCAGCCUUGCAAGUGCAAGGUCCUGAGUUUGAUCCCCAGUACCAGUACCAAAAAAAAAAAAAAAAAAAAAAAAAAAAAAAAAAAAAAAAAAAAAAAAAAAAGAUAAGAAAAAAAA